rnacentral:rRNA from 1 species
GACGAACGCUGGCGGUGUGCUUCACACAUGCAGGUCGAACGAGGUAGCAAUACCUAGUGGCGGACGGGGUGAGUAAACGCGUGGGGAAUCUGCCUUUAGAUGGGGGAUAACGGGUCGAAAGACUCGCUAAUACCGCAUAUGACGAAAGUUGAAAGGAGUAAAUCCGUCUAAAGAUGAGCCCGCGUCCGAUUAGCUAGUUGGUAGAGUAAAAGCCUACCAAGGCGACGAUCGGUAGCUGGUCUGAGAGGAUGAUCAGCCACAAUGGGACUAGAGACACGGCCCAUACUCCUACGGGAGGCAGCAGUGGGAAUUUUACGCAAUGGGCGAAAGCCUGACGUAGCGACACCGCGUGAGCGAAGAAGCCCC